GAUGAACGCUGGCGGCGUGCCUAAUACAUGCAAGUCGAGCGAACAGACGAGGAGCUUGCUCCUCUGACGUUAGCGGCGGACGGGUGAGUAACACGUGGAUAACCUACCUAUAAGACUGGGAUAACUUCGGGAAACCGGAGCUAAUACCGGAUAAUAUAUUGAACCGCAUGGUUCAAUAGUGAAAGACGGUUUUGCUGUCACUUAUAGAUGGAUCCGCGCCGGAUUAGCUAGUUGGUAAGGUAACGGCUUACCAAGGCAACGAUGCGUAGCCGACCUGAGAGGGUGAUCGGCCACACUGGAACUGAGACACGGUCCAGACUCCUACGGGAGGCAGCAGUAGGGAAUCUUCCGCAAAGGGCGAAAGCCUGACGGAGCAACGCCGCGUGAGUGAUGAAGGUCUUCGGAUCGUAAAACUCUGUUAUUAGGGAAGAACAAAUGUGUAAGUAACUAUGCACGUCUUGACGGUACCUAAUCAGAAAGCAACGGCUAACUACGUG
rnacentral:rRNA from 1 species